UGGGGAUGUGGCUCAGUGGCAAAGUGCUUGUCUGGCAUGCAUGAGGCCAUGGGUUCAAAUCCCAAAGCACCAA
rnacentral:tRNA from 1 species